GACACCAUGGCGCAGUGGUACCGCGGUAGACUGCUAAUCUAUUUCCCUUUGGGUUCCCAGGUUCGAAUCCUGGUGGUGUCG